ACAAAAACAACAGUCAAAAACAAUUCAGCAGGUGAUGCAGAAAUAUCCAUUUAGCAAAGAAUAAACCAUAACAUGAUUUUAAAUGCCUGACCGAGGACUUUGCUUCACUGAAAUUCCAUGUAAAAUAAUAAACAAGUUUGGGGCAAGAAUGUUGCCACAAGAAGAUUGAAUUGGUGAUUUAUCUUUUUCACUCUUUUUCAGCAAGGCACAUAUUUCACGAGAAAAAUCCCAUGAGGCACCACCAAACCAAAAUGUCACACAAAAGACGUUCAAAUCCACACGAUGAGGCAAACACAGAAGUGGACUCCUUUAUAGUCAACAAUGGAUGAUACAUUCACCUGAAAUGAUCUCCUGAGGCUGACUUUGCCCUAAGGCACCUGAGGGCAGCGCUCUGUCAGGCACUGACUUCAGAGGUUGAGGAGGAGAAAUGCCCUCAUCACGUGAUUAAUACUUCACUCUGCCACACUAGUCCUACUACAAGAACAGGCCAAACUACAGCAGCAACAAUCCAAAACAUCUGUCAGUACGACGACAGCCGCACCACAGCCAGUGAGCGCACACUUUAAGGCUACAUACAAGGAUCGCACACAGUGAGUACAGGCUUAGGGGAACAACUUGUGAAACAAACAUGGAAUUCUCAGUGGAAAACCACAUGGGCUUCAUUAAAUCCAGGGUCAUGACAUCCUUCAUUAACAGUCCAGAUGUUAUCAGCUCAUCCUGUUGACACCAUUCAGAGAGAGCAAUGGUUUAUCUGUGUCGGGGAGGAGGAAGUUUGGUUACUGUGUAAGGGGGAAACUGCCAAACGCUCUGUGUGUGUGUGUGUGUGUGUGUGUGUGUGUGUGUGUGUGUGAGAGAGAGAGAGAGAGUGGGUCUGUGUGUAUUUUCAGUUAUCUCUCAGGGACCUUUUCUGGUAUGAAAACUGACAUUAUUGAGGUCCAGUUGACCUGAUGGUUACCACAACCAGGCCACAGGCUCAUGUCAACCCUAACUAAUGGCAUCGCAAAGCUCUUGCGAGACAAGAGGGAACAAUUAAAAAUGGAAAAUAAAAUUUAUAUAUAUAAAAGGCCUGAUUUUGCUCUUGCAACAUAAUAAAAAAACACACAAAAUAUAUCCUCAAUAGUUACCUAAUUACAGAACUAAAGGAAACUGAGCAGAUAAGUUUUUGGUUUUUUAAAUAGCGGUUUUCUGUGUUUAUAUAUAUAUAUAUAUAAUAACACAGUAAAAUGCAACUACUAAUGUUAUUAAGCAUAACAAAUGUGUUCAGGUGUAACUAUUUCACAGCGAUGACCAAUGUUUUUAAAAAAGGCCGUCAGUUUUGGGAUAUGUUGGAGGAGUGCAGCUCCACACGAGAUGAACUGAGUAACUGUAUUUACCGCAGCUAAAAGGGGAAGGUACAGAUAAAAAUCUGAAAAAUGCCUAAAUAAAAGCCUAAAAUAUACUGUUGACGAUAUCUCUCUAUUUUUUAUAGAGAUAAAGUCAACCGUGUUAUUGUUUGGGAGAGAGGGGGAGGAGGAGGGAGGGGAGGUGCGUUCAUUUCAACCCAGUUGUUUGUUGUCUACCAUCAUAGGUCUAUGGUCAUGUUUUUUUAAGCCCUCUUUUUAUUAUUACGUAGGCACUUGAGCUACUUUUAGACAUCAGGUGAGCCACAGACAUAACGCGAUAUAUGUUUAUGAUUCCAAACAACUCUGUCUGACGUCACUGACGUCCUCAGAGCUCGUCUGUGGAUCAUAAUAUUGGACCCAGACGGUAUUUUGUAUUGAACUGUGUAUGUAAUCAUUUCUAUGACAGAGAAGAAGACACAGAGUAAGAUGACAUUUCUGAGCAGGGCGAAGAUGGGACAGAGAGAGAGGGGGAGAGACAGACAGAGAGAGAGAGAGAGAGAGACCAGGUUCAAACCAUGUGGGAAUAGAAACUCCCCCAACUGUUACCUGUCUAACAGCUUACAAAAGUCAACCAUCGAAACGCCGUCUGUUUGCGGGGUCAGCAAGUUCACAUGACUAAAGCAAGAAGUUGGCGUCCAAAUGAAGAAGUUCUAACACGCAGACAAACACAAAAUUAAAAAAACUUGGACGUGCACUUUAAUUUCUUAGUUUUCUAUUUUUUUAAAUUUAUUUAUUUAUUUUCUGUCAGCUUUUGUUUUUACAGGUUGUUUUGUUUUUCGGCGCGUCUUUAACAUAAUCCAUGCGAAACUGAUUAGGUAACAGAGCAGCCGUCAAAGCGAGAGUAAACACCAAAAAAAAAAAAAAAAGUCAGCCGUUUCUCCUCUGUGGAGACUCUGCUCCCUGGAUCUAAUCAUUAAACACUAUUAGGAAAGCAAACAAACACCAGAGUCACUUUAGGACCUGAAGUCCUGUCUUUGUCAACAUGUCUGUAGUUCAUUUAAAAACACGCACAGACAUUAAAGAAUACAACUCACCUCGUAGCCUUGAUGCUCAUGAGUGCUCUCUCCAUGUACAGCAGCAGCAGCAGCAGCUUCUUCUGCUUAAAGGAAACGGACAGUUGUUGCCGCCUGGCAGCGGAAGUCUGACCGGUUGCGCCGAAAAUCCCACGGUACGAGGAGAAGGAGGCCAGAGAGGGAGGUGAGAGCAACUCAUCCGAGCUCCACGCGGCUUUUGGAGAAGUUAACUGAGUGGAGAACUAAGACAAAAGGCAGAAGGGGAGGAGGAGGAGGAAGAGGAGGAGGAUUUUCUUUGAUCAACAGGCGGAGUCAAACAGUCGUCUGGUUGUCUCUCUAUCUGCAGCCUGUUUCUACUCAUGUGAUGUUUUUCCUGCGGCUCACUUUCUCUUCCUUCUUUUAUUGUCUGUGACCAGAACUGCCAAGGCAGUAAAAGUCAAACUGAAAGCCUAAUAACUCAUUCUUUAACUCCUGUUCCCCAAACAUCAGAGUUCACAGUUCUUCAGGGAGCAGACGUGACAGCCAGAUGAACUCACUGAAACAACAACAACAACAUCAUCAUCAGGCUCUCCUCACCUUUGAGAUGGAGUCUAAUUUGUGCAUCCCGUGGGUCUGACACCGUUUAGUCUAGACAAGUCAGUGGCUUCCUUCAGUCCCUGUGGCCUCACAGGUAAAGGAGCUGUUCCACCAGGGGUUUGACUGAAGAAGAAGAGGAGGAGGAGGCAGCCGCUCUUCUCCGACUGAGCGCAUUUCCCUCAUUUCCAGUUACCAUGGCGUUUAGCCAACACUCAAGGAGGUGUUUACCACUUAUAAACAAGUUGUGCUGACAGAGGUGAUCUCUCAGGACGCGCUGUCUGACGAAACCCUUCCCAGAAGUCAGGAACUACCUGUAGAACCUGGAGACUGUACCUGUUGCAUCAGACACGUGAGGAGCCCAAGAGAUCCUAAAAGACGACAAAACGUGGAGUGAUCAAAAGAAACGCAGUGGUGGAACCCACAGGCAACGGUCGCCGCAUAUGCAGCAAUUGUUAUAUCUUUAUAUCAGUAGUGAGAAGAUGGUGUUUACUCCCAUUAUCCCCGGACACAUGGGUCGCACUCUCCCCCACAGCGACACUCCCAUCCUCCCUCUCUGGCUGAUGUAAUGCACCUCUGGCCUCAUUUGCAGAAAUCUGCGUCAGCCAAUAGCUGCAGGACAAAUUAUGGCUCAGGGAAACAUGCUUUUCAGCUGUGGAGCCACUCACACAACUCCACGUCCUGCAAAUGCAACAAGUUAUCCCACAGAUGUCAGAAGAGAUUUGUGGCUGGAUUUGUGAAAAGGUGUCCAAAUGGCGAGUGUUUUAGUAGUUGCCGACCUUUGCCCUGGACGGUUCACCAGCUCAUCACAGCGCCACGUAUGGAGACACAAUCCUAGAAAGAGGUCGAAAUAACCAGUCCUCUCCUAUUGACGUCCAUCUCUACUCAGACGACUCAUCUGGUUUGUGAAGGUACUGUCUGACAGCACUGACGAUGGUGGACACCUCUGCCAUGCCACCUUUACCUGCAAACAAAGACAUUUAUGAGAGUUCUUUUAGACCAAGGCCAGUCCAGAGAAAUCUGCAUUUCAGAAAACGACACUACUUGAUUACACAGUGUACAAAAACAAAUGUUGUUGUAACAAUUUCCUGUUAGAAAAUCUUUGGGAGAUCAUGAUUUGAAUGAACAAUAUUCAUCCAAAAUGCACAAAUGUGGGCCUGAUCUGGCCGUGUCCCAUAAUCAUGAAGUAGUCAGUGAUUUCUAAAAUUCAUCCAAGGUUUUUUUGUAAAAGUGAAGUCACGUCAGUCUAAGUCAUUAGGCCACGUCAAACAGGUGAGCACCCAGGACUUUGGCCAAUAAUCAGAUAUGACAGGGCGGUAACCACAGCUGUGGUGACACACCCACACGUUUGGCUCCAAGGAUAUGGUGCCAACUGCCAAGUAACAGUUGCAGGCACUAAACACUGACUCUAAGUGACCUAAUUAUUUCCAAUUAACCUUAGAGUACAUUCAGGGCAUUGACAAACCCACUGGGCAGGUUGUCAACAUGGCAGUGUACGCCUUUUGUAAUCAUGUGUUAUUUUCACAGAGGUUACUCCCUUUAUUUAGCAGAUGCGAUCAUUCCCUGUAACUGCUUUAUGACUGACAUCUGACUAACUUCCUGUGACACCUGUCUGUACAUGCUGGCCUCUUUGUAUUACAAUGAGUAGUAGUAGUAUGAUAUUAUAAACAUUUUUUCUUCAGGCGUA